CUGCUCAAACAAUAAUGUGUAGCACAUAUACAGUAGCUAUGUCACUUAUUUUGGGGAAAUUGGAGAUACAAUCUAUUGUAUGCUGCUGUGCCACACAAAAAUAUUUAAAUGAAAUAUUGUCCUUGCUUGAUGAUGUAGAAAGAGGUGAAUAGUUUUGGAACACUGAGCCAUUGACUGCACCAUGUGGCUGUGUUACGAGUGGGUUGCUUUUGAAAAUAAGGCAUCAGACUACAGCCAUAUAGUGUUGAACCUAGAAAAAGACCAAGAGAUAUGAGUAGGCAAGAAGGAGUCGACCGGGAUGGACGAGAGUAAUGUCCAGUUGGCCAGAAAAGCAUGGUUUGUCAUCUGACUUCUUAGAGCCUGGUGGAGAUGGAUGGAACCAUACUACAAGGCAGUACAUUUCUAUGCAUCCAGGUUGAGGCUUGCUACCAGCAGGAACACGGAGCACUCUGUGUCAGAAGCCAUUCUACAGCACAGCCCAAAGACAAACCCUGCUGCACCAUUGAGUUCUAAAG